rnacentral:rRNA from 1 species
UACAGAGGAGCCAAGCGUUGUCCGGAUUGACUGGGCGUAAAGCGCACGCAGGCGGCACCGCGCGUGGGGUGUGAAAUCUGGCCGCUUAACGGCCAGGCGCCAUCCCAUACGGCGGAGCUGGAGUGAUGCAGAGGUCGGUGGAAUUGCCGGUGUAGUGGUGAAAUGCGCAGAUAUCAGGAGGAACACCGGUGGCGAAGGCGGGACUCUGGGCCGAUACUGACGCUGAGGAGCGAAAGCGUGGGGAGCAAACAGG